rnacentral:rRNA from 1 species
AUGCCAAAACCUCAGCCUCCUGCGGCCAGACAGCGCAACUCCAACUCUGACGAAGAACUCAGUAGGACAAAACCAGGCACGGCUGGCGCCACGGGAGAUCGCCGAACGGGCAACCUGCAGCCAGUCAUCGUAUACCACAGGGCCUCGCCACCGCAGCUUCGACUCCGUAGCAACAAGCAAACCGAGGCAAUACCGUGGACACGCCGAAGAAGAGCCGACUACCGCAACCAUUGUCGCGUCGCCGACAUCGCUCCCACCAUCAUCGUUGUCGCAGAAGCCUGGACACCACCAACCACCGGACCCGCUUGCCGAUGCCGAGCUCCAGGACGAAGCCCCCAAGAGGGAAAAAGACACCAAGGUGUCGUCAUCGUCCGAUCAUAA